rnacentral:rRNA from 1 species
UACAGAGGGGGCAAGCGUUGUUCGCAAUUACUGGGCGUAAAGGGCGCGUAGGCGGUCCGAUAAGUCCUGUGUGAAAUCCCUCGGCUCAACUGAGGAACUGCACGGGAGACUGUCGGGCUUGAGUUCGGGAGAGGGAAGCGGAAUUCCGGGUGUAGCGGUGAAAUGCGUAGAUAUCCGGAGGAACACCGGUGGCGAAAGCGGCGCACUGGACCACAACUGACGCUGAGGCGCGAAAGCUAGGGGAGCAAACAGG